UCGGCGCGGCUGCCAUUGGUCCCCGCUGGGGUGAAAAUGAGGGGAAAGGACUGGGCUCGGGACUCCCGGGGGGCGGGAAGUGGAAGAAGAAAACACGCGCCCGCUUUCCUGCUGCGUUUAGCGGCCUCACCGUGAACGCUAGAAAGCGGGAGCCUACUGCUGCUCUUAUCUCCCAGGGCCUCUUUCUCUUUUCUUGCCGAAGUUUAGGCCCAACGUCAGCGGACCCCUCUCUAACUCCGCAAUCCACGCACACCUCACGGAUUACUCCCCUGCCCGCAGCAACCCAAGCUAUUAAUCUUGUCUUCCGCUCGCUCCCACCCCCAGCGCGCCUUUGCGAGCAGUAAGUCUAAUGCAUUUGUUUGAGAAACAUUUCUUGAAGAUCUGAGAGUUCUGUAACUCCCACUCAUGUGGUAAAAUUUUUCUGGCAUUUGGAGUUUGAGCAUACUUAUGGUCCUUCGGAUUCUGAAAGAAGAUUUUUUGGAAAUUUCUCCUCAAAAUAUGCCAUGUUCUCCUAAAGUGGAUACCAGAAAAUAAUAUUUUUCUAGCUUGGGCUGCAUAGGGCAAGCAACCGAAGUCAUCAGACUGGCUGUGCUCCACGAGGCCACCCGAGACCCCAGGGCGUCCCACGAGACUGCUGCCAUCCGCCGCCGCGUUAUUCUCAGCUGCAUGGUUGAAGCCGGGUCAAGGAACCCCAUGAUCUACCUCGUAGGAAAGAAAAGGGAGCAUGGGGGAUAUUUUGUCCUAUAUUUGAAGGGCUACGCUCAAAAUUGGCAAACGUCAUUCCUGCUCCAUUCCAUCGUGAGUAUGUAGGCAUUUCAUCCCACGGCUUCAAACAAGGCUGAGAAGUGUGUUCUCUGACGAUGCACCAGCCACAGCUCUUUUACUGAAGAGGAGGGACAGGAUGGAUUGCAAUGGACAUUUCAAGCAUCCAUCCCAUAGGCUCUCCUGUCAGUUUUUGUAACCCGCAGUGUUCUGCUCUGCAGGCUUUAAAGUGCAAGCUCUAAACCUGUAUCCAUCAGAUUCUCUAGUCCCUAGAGUAAAUAUACCUUGUGUCAGUUUAAAAAAAUAAAUUCUUUCACACUCUG